rnacentral:lncRNA from 1 species
ACCCCCUUGUUCCUGACCCGGCCUUGGGUGCUCUUACGGGUGUUCCCGUGUCCCGAGAUCCUUCGGGGGACUUCCUGCGGGACAACCCUCUCCUCCUGGGGCUGCCUCUGCUUUUGACCCCGCACCUGGAGGAACCUGUCACCGGAGAGCACCCCCUCCUGCUGAGGGGACACCCCCCACAGUCACCCUCUCCUCUGCCGGCCGCACCAAAGAAACCAGAACCCAAGCCCGAGUAUCAGAAACGUGUAUUCUUUUUCUUUUAAUAGUAAACCUCUUUACAACAAAUAUAGUGAAAGAGUUUUCAAACAAAACUCAUAAGAAUCCCGAGGACUUUGUCUUCUUAUUGUGUAGAAUACUAAGAAAGCAUCACCAUACAGCACGAAAAGAAAUAUUGAAAACAAAUCAACAGUCACACACUUGGACGCGCCCUGCCCGGGACCCAGGAGCGGCCCCAGGAGUGUGGGUGAUUGUCGGGUUCCGGGGGCGGGGGGUGCCUCCAUGCCUCCCCUCCCUCUCCCCCCUUCCCUCUGGGACCUGAAUGGGGAAGACAAAGAGAAUCCAGAAUCUCCACAGAACAUUCCAGCCCCCCGCCCCCACACAAACCCCACGCCUUCCACCACCGCUCAGGGGGUGGAGAGAGGCAGCGGAGGAGAGAACCGGAGUUCCCAGGCUGCAGGCCUCUCUCUUCCACGAAAGCCUAAACUCACCCCCACCCCUCCCCGGGAGAUUCCAAAGAAGUCAGUUAAAAAUAUAUAGAUAUAGAUAUUUCUAGAUACACUUUUACAUCAUUUCUGUCUCUCCAAACAAAUAAAUAAUCAUCAAG